rnacentral:rRNA from 1 species
UACGUAGGGAGCGAGCGUUGUCCGGAUUUAUUGGGCGUAAAGCGAGCGUAGGCGGUUUGGUAAGUCGGGUGUGAAAACUCCAAGCUUAACUUGGAGCGGCCAUUCGAAACUGUCAUGACUUGAGUUCGGUAGGGGAACACGGAAUUCCAGGUGUAGCGGUGAAAUGCUUAGAUAUCUGGAGGAACACCAGUGGCGAAGGCGGUGUUCUGGGCCGAUACUGACGCUAAAGCUCGAAAGCGUGGGGAGCGAACAGG